UUGAAUUUAGGCGCCUGAAGGGGCGGGAGGAUCGGGGGAGAGGGCCGCAGCGUCGCCUCAGGGCGCGAGCAGGGACGCCGCCAGGGGUGGAAAGCCAAGGCGGGGUACUAGCCCAAGGCUCCUCCGUUGCAAUGUAUUGUGCCUCACCACACUCAGUGGCUUGUUUCCCUUUUCUCACUCUCGUUUCAGCCUCGCGAAGCAGCCCCGAGAGAACGAGCAAGGAGCCCCACGAGAGUCGCGCAUGCUGGAAGGGGGGUUGUUGUGAGGUUUUCUAGAGCUCCCCACACAGCCCUGAGAGGCAACUUCCCCUGGGAAAUAGGGGCUGCCUCAAAAGAGCACCUUGGUGCUUCAGUGGCAACGUGGUAGCCUGUAAAUGUACCCCCAACCCUGUGAGGAGGCUCCUUUGUCUGAACGGUGGUGGCUCCUUUAAAGAGCUAUCUUUAAUAGCAAUUCUGUGGCUGGCCUUGGGUGCUUCCAGGGUUUUAUUAUGGAUGGCUUCCCACUCCCAUUAUCUCUAUCUGCUGCUUGGAGUAUUGUUUAAAUACAAACUUAUAAUAUUUGUAAAAAGUAAAACUAAAAUAGGCUUUAAAUAGGAUAAAAUCAAAUAAGCAGAGAAUAAAAUCUUGAAUAGGAUAAAAUCUAAAAAACAGUGAGCUAGUGCAGUAUAAUAAAAGAAAUAUAGGUCAUUAAUAUAACAGGGAAAGUUAACAGAAAAGUGUGAAGCAUUCUAAAAGCAGGUUAGGUAUUUUAGAACAACUAGUGUAUUAAAAUAAUAUUCAAAGUAGCAUAUGGAAAUAAUGAAAAAGCGUAUCCAUAAUAAAAGCCUGAAUAGCUUUCUUGUUCUAGACUGUGUCUCAUUGUUCUACAUGGCCUCAUUAAGUAGCAGUGUGCCUUUCUCCUAGAUUUUACACUUUUGUUCUAAGAAUCCCCUCAUUUAGCUGGUGGGUGUUGAUGUCCAAACCUUUCUGUGUAACCUUACUUUUCAUGCUCUGAAUAGUGGUGAAAUGGCAUAUCCGACUUGCACAGAUGAUCAGCUUGGUCUGCCCUGCACAUGGAGGAAGCAAGGAUAGUGGAAAUGCAGCAUCCUUGACCUCUUCAAGCAGCGUGGUGUGCUGACCAGGCUUGGCUGACUGAAGGGACAUGGUGAUGAGGCAAGGGAACAAGUCCUGAAGGCUUAAGAUUUGAGGUUUGGUUCUCCUACUUUAUUUAUGACAGUUAUAUACUGCUCUGUCCAAACAGGUCUCAGUGUCUCAUUCGUGGCUUGGGCUCCUUGAUGAACAGAGAUGGUCUUCAAUAAACCAUUGAAAAGAAAGUAAAAAGUAAAGGUCUGAUAACUUAUGAAGAUUUUUCUUUUGUUUAGGAGGAAAAGGGGAGAAAAAAUAAAGCAGUACAGAAGGAGGAAGAAAAACAAGGAGAAAGGAGAAACAAGAGGAAACAAAAGGGAAGAAGUAGGAGGAGGGAUUGUUUUUAAAGAUGCAUGACAUAAGAAUCAGGUAGGUUAUUCUUCAACAAACUGGAAGGCUAAAUUGCUGACUUCCUCUCUGCCAUGUAUCACUCUUGAGUUCCUGGAGCCUGGCUUGCUUGUGCUGGACCCAAUGUACAUGCACUUAAGAACCUCUGAAAAUGUGGGAACAUGAACUUAGUGGCCAUGCAUGCGGAAGCCCCUAACAGGGCUGGAGUGUGGCUAUCUACUGCAGGACUUCACGUCUCGGCCCUGGGGAGCCCUACAAUUGUGGGAGCGUGGCCUAUUUUUUUAUUCUUAUUUUUACAUUUCUAGCCCUCUCUUCUUCUGAGGAGCCCAAAGCGGUGUACCACAGACUUGAUAUUUUCCUCACAACAACCCUGUAAAGUAGGUUAGGCUGAGAGAGAAGCGACUGGCCCAGAGUCACCCAGCUAGUAUGGUUGAAUGGGGAUUUGGACUCGAGUCUCCCCAGUCCUAGUAAACUAGGGAACCCCUGAUUUGGCUGUGGUGCCGAUUUGACGUGCUGGACUUCACGUCCUGGCACUGGGGAGCCCCGAAAAUGGUGGGAGCCUGGCCUUCUCGACGAGCCGGAGUGUCUGUAUGCUGCGUGGCUGCUCAUUUAUCUGCAGGGUGCCGUUCCUCACUGCGUGACUUUGCCCUUCAUCUUGUGAGUGGUGGCGAGUUGGCAUCUCCCAACUGCCCGGUCCCUAGUCUUCAGCUUGGUGCGCCCUGCCCACGGAGAAAGCCAGGGACGGUGGAAGUGCGGCAUCCGUGACCUCUUCAAGCAGCGUGGUGUGCCGAGCGGGCCCUGCUGGCUGGCUGAAGAAGGCACACGAAGGCAAUGGGGAGCAAGAACAGAAGAAAGAGGUGCAGAAGGAGGAAGAGAAGCAAGCAGGAAGGCGCCAGAGGAGACGUGAAAAGAAGCAGGAGGAGACCGGCUCUCCAGAAGCUUUGCAGAAGAAACGGGCAGGCUGUGCUUCCACCAGGCGGACGGCUUUGUUUCUCUCUCUCUCUCUCUCUCGGCCACUGAUCACUCUGCGUGGGGCUGCUGGACCUGCAGCGUGGCAUCCCUCGUGCUGGACUUCAUGUCUUUGCACUCAGGAGCCCUGAAAGGGGUGGGAGUGCGGCCUUCUCAGGCCGCCCUGAAUCUCUCUGCACCGAGUCCCUUGCAAUUGGGUGGGAGGUGGCUUGCUCAUGCUGGACCUGAAGUAUGUGUGCUGAGCCGCCCCUGGAUGGGACUGGGGGUAUUGCUUUUUCGCGCCACUGCUUUAUGUAUGUGCGCUGAGCUGCCCCUGGGUAGGCUGGCCUGGGGGUGUUGCUUCCUCGCGCCGAGCCUUAGAGGUAUGUGCGCUGAGCCGCCCCUGGUCGGGGCUGGGGGCGUUAGCUUUCUCACACCGAGCUUGAUGCCAUGUGCGCUGAGCCUGCCCCUGGCUGGGCUCAGCUUGGGGGUGUUGCUUUCUCUCGCGCCGAGCCUUCGGGUAUGUGCGCUGAGCCGCCCCGGGCUGGGAGCGUUGCUUUGUGCUGCCAGGCCUUACGUCUCUGCACUGAGCCGCCCCAGUGAGGGCUGGGGGUGUUGCUUCCUCUCGCCACGAGCUUCACGUCUUUGCUCUGAGAAGCCCCUCAAUUGGCCAGGGGGUGGCUCUCUCCAAUCCUUGCUGCCUGACUUUGCCCUCCAUGCUCUGCGUGGGGUUGAGCUGGCAACUCCGCCCUGCCCGCGGAGGAAGCUCGGGACGGACGGUAGAAGUGUGGCCUCCCUGACCUCUUCAAGCAGCAGCAGCAGCAGCCGCCUCUGCCGGCUGAAGGCACACGCCUGACGCUUGGUGUGCUCAUGCUCCUUGGCUGGGGCUCUUGCAUGAGCAGCGCUGGUCCUCAAGAAGGCCUUCGAAAGAGGGAAAAGAGUCAAGAGCUGCGAGAAGCUGAUCUCUUGCCUUAGGAGGCAAGGGAGAGAAAGGGCAGAAGGAAGAAGUGCCACAGGCUGGCGAAAAAGAAGCAGCACCAGGAGGAGACCUGAACAGCAGGGAAGAAGGAGGCGGAGAAGAGGGGCUCUCAAGCAGCUUCACAGAAGGAAGAAGGGGGAGAUUCCGCUUCGACCAGCUGGAGGGCCUCCUUGCUGGCUUUCUCUCUGCUCUGUCUCCCUGAGGAGAGGCUGAUUGACCUGGAGCCUGGCUGCUUUGGGAGGCUUCGGGUGUCCCUGCCCUGAGUAGCCUCGGGUUUGGGAGGGGCGUGGACAUGACAGGAUGGACUCGGUGUCCAUACGCUCAGUGGCCCUUUCUUGAACUGGGCUGCGGCUUUCUCGUGCUGGACUUCAUGUCUCUGCACUGGGGAGCCCUACAACUGUGGGAAGUGUCUGUAUGCUGGAGAAGCCCUGAUUUGGCUGGGGAGCGUGUUUCUCGUGCUGGACUUCAUGUCUCUGCACUGGGGAGCCCUACAAAUAGUGAGAACGUGGCCCUUUAUAGGGGCCGUACAAGGAGCAGCCCGUAUUUCAGCUGAGGUGUGUCUUUCUCGUGCUGGACUUCAUGUCUCUGCACUGGGGAGCCCUACAACUGUGGGAAGUGUCUGUAUGCUGGAGAAGCCCUGAUUUGGCUGGGGAGCGUGUUUCUCGUGCUGGACUUCACGUCUCUGCACUGGGGUGCCAUACAAAUAGUGAGAACGUGGCCCUUUAUAGGGGCCGUACAAGGAGCAGCCCCUAUUUCAGCUGAGGUGUGUCUUUCUCGUGCUGGACUUCAUGCCUCUGCACUGGGGAGCCCUACAACUGUGGGAAGUGUCUGUAUGCUGGAGAAGCCCUGAUUUGGCUGGGGAGCGUGUUUCUCGUGCUGGACUUCAUGUCUCUGCACUGGGGUGCCAUACAAAUAGUGAGAACGUGGCCCUUUAUAGGGGCCGUACAAGGAGCAGCCCCUAUUUCAGCUGAGGUGUGUCUUUCUCGUGCUGGACUUCAUGCCUCUGCACUGGGGAGCCCUACAACUGUGGGAAGUGUCUGUAUGCUGGAGAAGCCCUGAUUUGGCUGGGGAGCGUGUUUCUCGUGCUGGACUUCAUGUCUCUGCACUGGGGUGCCAUACAAAUAGUGAGAACGUGGCCCUUUAUAGGGGCCGUACAAGGAGCAGCCCCUAUUUCAGCUGAGGUGUGUCUUUCUUGUGCUGGACUUCAUGUCUCUGCACUGGGGUGCCAUACAAAUAGUGAGAACGUGGCCCUUUAUAGGGGCCGUACAAGGAGCAGCCCCUAUUUCAGCUGAGGUGUGUCUUUCUCGUGCUGGACUUCAUGCCUCUGCACUGGGGAGCCCUACAACUGUGGGAAGUGUCUGUAUGCUGGAGAAGCCCUGAUUUGGCUGGGGAGCGUGUUUCUCGUGCUGGACUUCAUGUCUCUGCACUGGGGUGCCAUACAAAUAGUGAGAACGUGGCCCUUUAUAGGGGCCGUACAAGGAGCAGCCCCUAUUUCAGCUGAGGUGUGUCUUUCUCGUGCUGGACUUCAUGCCUCUGCACUGGGGAGCCCUACAACUGUGGGAAGUGUCUGUAUGCUGGAGAAGCCCUGAUUUGGCUGGGGAGCGUGUUUCUCGUGCUGGACUUCAUGUCUCUGCACUGGGGUGCCAUACAAAUAGUGAGAACGUGGCCCUUUAUAGGGGCCGUACAAGGAGCAGCCCCUAUUUCAGCUGAGGUGUGUCUUUCUCGUGCUGGACUUCAUGCCUCUGCACUGGGGAGCCCUACAACUGUGGGAAGUGUCUGUAUGCUGGAGAAGCCCUGAUUUGGCUGGGGAGCGUGUUUCUCGUGCUGGACUUCAUGUCUCUGCACUGGGGUGCCAUACAAAUAGUGAGAACGUGGCCCUUUAUAGGGGCCGUACAAGGAGCAGCCCCUAAUUCAGCUGAGGUGUGUCUUUCUCGUGCUGGACUUCAUGCCUCUGCACUGGGGAGCCCUACAACUGUGGGAAGUGUCUGUAUGCUGGAGAAGCCCUGAUUUGGCUGGGGAGCGUGUUUCUCGUGCUGGACUUCAUGUCUCUGCACUGGGGUGCCAUACAAAUAGUGAGAACGUGGCCCUUUAUAGGGGCCGUACAAGGAGCAGCCCCUAUUUCAGCUGAGGUGUGUCUUUCUCGUGCUGGACUUCAUGCCUCUGCACUGGGGAGCCCUACAACUGUGGGAAGUGUCUGUAUGCUGGAGAAGCCCUGAUUUGGCUGGGGAGCGUGUUUCUCGUGCUGGACUUCAUGUCUCUGCACUGGGGUGCCAUACAAAUAGUGAGAACGUGGCCCUUUAUAGGGGCUGUACAAGGAGCAGCCCCUAUUUCAGCUGAGGUGUGUCUUUCUCGUGCUGGACUUCAUGCCUCUGCACUGGGGAGCCCUACAACUGUGGGAAGUGUCUGUAUGCUGGAGAAGCCCUGAUUUGGCUGGGGAGCGUGUUUCUCGUGCUGGACUUCAUGUCUCUGCACUGGGGUGCCAUACAAAUAGUGAGAACGUGGCCCUUUAUAGGGGCCGUACAAGGAGCAGCCCCUAUUUCAGCUGAGGUGUGUUUUUCUCGUGCUGGACUUCAUGUCUCUGCACUGGUGAGCCCUACAACUGUGGGAAGUGUCUGUAUGCUGGAGAAGCCCGGAUUAGGCUGGGGAAGUGGCUUUCUCGUGCUGGACUUCACGUCUCUGCACUGGGGUGCCAUAAAAAUAGUGAGAGUGUGGCCCUCGUAGGGGCCGUACAUGGAGCAGCCCCCAUUUCAGCUGAGGUGUGGCUUUCUCGUGCUGGACUUCACGUCUUUGCACUGGGGAGCCCUAUCUCUAGCCCGCUCUUCUUCCGAGGAGCCCAAAGCAGUGUACCACAUACUUGACUUUUUCCUCACAACAACCCUGUGAAGUAGGUUAGGCUGAGAGAGAAGCGACUGGCCCAGAGUCACCCGGCUAGUAUCAUGGUUGAAUGGGGAUUUGGACUCCAGUCUCCCCGGUCCUAGUAAACUAGGGAACCCCUGUUUCAGCUGAGGUGUGUCUUUCUCGUGCUGGACUUCAUGUCUUUGCACUGGGGAGCCCCGCAAUUGUAAGAGUAUGGCCAUCGUAGUGGCUGUAUACCGGGGAACCCCGAUUUGGCUGAGGAGCGGCUUUCUCAUGCUGGACUUCACGUCCUGGCACUGGGGAGCCCCGAAAAUGGUGGGAGCCUGGCCUUCUCGACGAGCCGGAGUGUCUGUAUGCUGCGUGGCUGCUCAUUUAUCUGCAGGGUGCCGUUCCUCACUGCGUGACUUUGCCCUUCAUCUUGUGAGUGGUGGCGAGUUGGCAUCUCCCAACUGCCCGGUCCCUAGUCUUCAGCUUGGUGCGCCCUGCCCACGGAGAAAGCCAGGGACGGUGGAAGUGCGGCAUCCGUGACCUCUUCAAGCAGCGUGGUGUGCCGAGCGGGCCCUGCUGGCUGGCUGAAGAAGGCACACGAAGGCAAUGGGGAGCAAGGACAGAAGAAAGAGGUGCAGAAGGAGGAAGAGAAGCAAGCAGGAAGGCGCCAGAGGAGACGUGAAAAGAAGCAGGAGGAGACCGGCUCUCCAGAAGCUUUGCAGAAGAAACGGGCAGGCUGUGCUUCCACCAGGCGGACGGCUUUGUUUCUCUCUCUCUCUCUCUCUCGGCCACUGAUCACUCUGCGUGGGGCUGCUGGACCUGCAGCGUGGCAUCCCUCGUGCUGGACUUCAUGUCUUUGCACUCAGGAGCCCUGAAAGGGGUGGGAGUGCGGCCUUCUCAGGCCGCCCUGAAUCUCUCUGCACCGAGUCCCUUGCAAUUGGGUGGGAGGUGGCUUGCUCAUGCUGGACCUGAAGUAUGUGUGCUGAGCCGCCCCUGGAUGGGACUGGGGGUAUUGCUUUUUCGCGCCACUGCUUUAUGUAUGUGCGCUGAGCUGCCCCUGGGUAGGCUGGCCUGGGGGUGUUGCUUCCUCGCGCCGAGCCUUAGAGGUAUGUGCGCUGAGCCGCCCCUGGUCGGGGCUGGGGGCGUUAGCUUUCUCACGCCGAGCUUGAUGCCAUGUGCGCUGAGCCUGCCCCUGGCUGGGCUCAGCUUGGGGGUGUUGCUUUCUCUCGCGCCGAGCCUUCGGGUAUGUGCGCUGAGCCGCCCCGGGCUGGGGCUGGGAGCGUUGCUUUGUGCUGCCAGGCCUUACGUCUCUGCAUUGAGCCGCCCCAGUGAGGGCUGGGGGUGUUGCUUCCUCUCGCCACGAGCUUCACGUCUUUGCUCUGAGAAGCCCCUCAAUUGGCCAGGGGGUGGCUCUCUCCAAUCCUUGCUGCCUGACUUUGCCCUCCAUGCUCUGCGUGGGGUUGAGCUGGCAACUCCGCCCUGCCCGCGGAGGAAGCUCGGGACGGACGGUAGAAGUGUGGCCUCCCUGACCUCUUCAAGCAGCAGCAGCAGCAGCAGCCGCCUCUGCCGGCUGAAGGCACACGCCUGACGCUUGGUGUGCUCAUGCUCCUUGGCUGGGGCUCUUGCAUGAGCAGCGCUGGUCCUCAAGAAGGCCUUCGAAAGAGGGAAAAGAGUCAAGAGCUGCGAGAAGCUGAUCUCUUGCCUUAGGAGGCAAGGGAGAGAAAGGGCAGAAGGAAGAAGUGCCACAGGCUGGCGAAAAAGAAGCAGCACCAGGAGGAGACCUGAACAGCAGGGAAGAAGGAGGCGGAGAAGAGGGGCUCUCAAGCAGCUUCACAGAAGGAAGAAGGGGGAGAUUCCGCUUCGACCAGCUGGAGGGCCUCCUUGCUGGCUUUCUCUCUGCUCUGUCUCCCUGAGGAGAGGCUGAUUGACCUGGAGCCUGGCUGCUUUGGGAGGCUUCGGGUGUCCCUGCCCUGAGUAGCCUCGGGUUUGGGAGGGGCGUGGACAUGACAGGAUGGACUCGGUGUCCAUACGCUCAGUGGCCCUUUCUUGAACUGGGCUGCGGCUUUCUCGUGCUGGACUUCAUGUCUCUGCACUGGGGAGCCCUACAACUGUGGGAAGUGUCUGUAUGCUGGAGAAGCCCUGAUUUGGCUGGGGAGCGUGUUUCUCGUGCUGGACUUCAUGUCUCUGCACUGGGGUGCCAUACAAAUAGUGAGAACGUGGCCCUUUAUAGGGGCCGUACAAGGAGCAGCCCCUAUUUCAGCUGAGGUGUGGCUUUCUCGUGCUGGACUUCACGUCUUUGCACUGUCUUUCUUAGUGGCCAUACAGUGGGCUUUGGGUAUCACUUUUUCUUUUGGGAUUUUACAUUUUUUUCUUUGCAUGUUAAUUACAUUUAAAUGUCUCGGGGAGCUUCAAUUCUGGCUUCGUUAUUUUGCUCUUCUUUUUCUGAAUGGUGAUGAAGUGGUACCUUUGGCCUGGCGUGGUGCGGCAGUUGAAGUGCGGCGUUUCUGACCUCUUUAAGCCGCGUGAUAUGCUGAGCACGCUCUGUUGGCUGAAAGCACAUGAAGAGAACACGAGAAAGAUUGAAGGAACAAUUGCAGAACAAGGAGAAAGAACACCAGAAAGUCCCAACAGGAGCCCUGAAGACUAACUGGAGAAGUGGGAGUAAAAGACCGGAUAACAAGAAGCAGGAGAGAAGAAACAGGCAGGUUCCCAUCCUCGGAGCUGACUGCCUCCUUCAUGACUGAGUAGCAAUUCUAUCACAUAGAAAUAUCCCCACAUUGCUGUGAGCCUGUUUCAACCCAAGAUGGUGACUGUCUCCAAAGGACUUCAAUUUUUGAUGGCGUCUAAAUAUUGGCACAGCCCCAUGAAGCUGCUUAGCCUGUCAGCUGGUGGGGGUCUCGAAAGAGUGGCAUGCUUGAGGGGCAGUUUUCUGGCAGUUCAGUCUUCAUGCCUGACCCUGUGUCUCGGCUACUUCCUGCUCUGAGAAAUCCCCAAGGUACUUGGAGUGUGGUUUUCUUCAUUCCUGGCUUGAUAUCUCUGCUUCAGAUUGCUCAGAGCAGCCACUGAGAUGACUGGAGAGCCACUGGCCUUGGGUGUGUCCAGGGUUUUAUCCUAGAUGGCUUCUCUGCCCCCCAUUAUUUCUGUUUGCUGCUUGCAAUAUUGUUUAAAUACAAACUUAAAAUAUGUUAAAAACUAAAACAAAAAUAGCUGUUGCAUAGGAUAACCUCUAAAAGGAUAGGAUCAAACCUAAAAAGAAUAAACAAGUGUAGUAUAAUAUAAGUAGGAUAACAUCUAAAAGAUUAGGAUAAAAUCUAAAAAGAUUAAACAAGUAUAGUAUAAUAUAAGAAAUACAGCUCUAUUAACUUAAUUAGGAAGGCUAAUAGGAAAUAAAAUCAAGCAUUUUCAAAGUAGAUUAGAUAUUCUAGACCAACUAGUGUAUUAAAAUAAUAUUCAAAGCAGCAUAUGGGAAUGGUGAGAAAAAGCACUUUGCUACUGAAAGUCUGAAAGGCCAGAACACAUCCACCAGUCCCUCAUUUAGCUCUUCCAUGGCUCCGGGUCUCUUCCUGCUAGGAUCUUACAGACUAUUCCCCCUUUGAUGCAAAGAUGGGUGCUUGGGCGAUUUGAAGUAGAAAUAAAGAUCAAUAUUGUCUUUAUGUAGCUUUGUUUACUGACAGGCUUAUAGGAUGCUGAAGAUGGUAUUUCUUUCAAGCACCCAGAACUGAUUCUUAUUUCAAGUUGUUUUAACCUGUGUUUUUUUGUAAAUGGCCCAGAGACAUGAGUUUUGGGUGGUCAUAACCAAAUAUGCUAAAUAAAAAGCUGUCAGUAUUGUCUGCUAGAA